ACGCUGCAGCCAUGUUCCGCUGACGUUGUCAGCAACAUGCCCAGGUGGUCACGAUCUUCAAGACCACGGCGCGGUUCCGUCCACGUGAUCGAUCCAGUUCGCACCCGGCAUCCCAGCGCGAACGCCCGUCGAGUCAUCGAUGGUGAUGC
rfam:Pseudomonas fluorescens HK44 Contig4, whole genome shotgun sequence.